ensembl:lncRNA
GCCCGAACGGCCGCGGGCGGCGCGGGACAGCGGGAAGGCGCGCGAGGGGCCGGGAGUGGAGCGGGUGGGGCUGGAUGUGUGCUGCAGUGACCGGACGAGCACAAAGCUGGGGGAAAAGUGAAGGGGACAGUGUCCCGGUGACAGCUCUCUGCUCCGCUCUGAGCGGGAGAGCCCUUCCCGAGCGAUUUUCAGUGCGCGGUGCAAUUCGUCUGUCUUUUUAAGCCUAGUUACCGCUGAAGAUAUCUUUUCCUGUGCUGGGGGCAGCUCCUGCUGCAUCACUGCUGCCCGGCUCUGCUGCGGGGGGGCUCAGGAGCGAGUGCCACAGAAGGAAGACGGCAGAUAACGUAUAGCACGUGUAACGAUUCACGUUAGUUACUUUGCGAGGGAUAAAAAGAAGCUUUUCUAAUAGGGUAACAGACAUGAAAACGCAGAGCUUUGGAACAGGUGCUCACAGAAAUAGGAGAGCCUCCCCACCUGGAAGUAUUGAGGAGACAUGUGGAUGUGGCACCGAGGGACCUGGUUUAGUGACUGGAAUCGGUCAGACUCCAAUUUCUAGAAUUAAUAUUUCUUUUCCAACAUGAGGAAAAUGAUGCUGUGCAGCAGGAACUGUUUAUUAUGAAGAACUGGUCCCAGAGCUGCAAGAAAGGCAGUGUAGGAAGGGGCACUGUCCAGUGCUUGUGGAAAACAGAUAGUCAUUGCCCAUGAGCUCGUGGCUGUCACUACUGCUGUUCAGACAGAAGGACAGAGAGACUGUAGCAGCAGAUAGGAAGAGCCUGAGGAGGGUGCAGAUGAGGUCAAACGCCGAAAUAUCUUGGUACAGGCUCUGGGUGGGAUGAUUAGUUGACAGCUGACAAGAGAGAUUAUGCUGAGAUACUGGACUCCAAUGGAAAGGCAACUUUUCUCCUCAAGGAUCCUAAAGACCCGUGUAGCUGUCAGCCUGCUGUCUCUGCCUUCUCCCAGCUGAUUCCCCUCUGCCAUAAAGAGGAGAUUUCAAGGGUAACCUGUCACCUCCUGCUCUUCUGUGCUGAGAAGUAGCCCCUGUGGGCACCACAAUAGAAGUGGCAGCUCUGAAAACUUAAGGGCAGCAUAUUAAUGCCUUCCUUGUGACUUUAAGCAGGGAGCCUACCUGAAGAUGGGACAAGGAUUCCCAAGGCCUGCUGCAGCCGAAUGCCCCACGGCCUAUGGAGGCUCAACCCCUGAGGAGGAGCUGGAGUGGCUUCAGGACCCUGCUUAGUGCACUGGAGCUGCCAUCUGCAGCUCAGGAUGGACAGCUAAUGCCAUUCAAGCAUAUAGCGAGUCCAGAAGGACAUCAUCAUGACGAGGAAGGUGUUGGCAAAAGGAGUGGCAGGGAACAAAAAGCACAAAAAAACUGAAGCUCACUGGGCUCCCUCAGGCCCUUCAGAAACUGAUGCAGUUUUGCUUCUUCCUUCAGAUUCUAUCACAAGUCUCGUAACAUUUGGUCUUUCUCCUGAGUAACUUUCUCACAGCCUGCACUCAAGGAAAACUUUCAUCAUCAUCUUCAAAGAUGGAAGCUAACUUUCAAAGAAAAGCACAAAAACAUAAAUCCUAGGAAUAUCAAUGCAAAAAAAAAUGCAAUUUAGAAACAAGCUUUGUGAAAUAUCUUGUGGCCAUUUUUUACAUCUGAGUUGUGGCUCUGGGCUUAUAUCUCAUUCUGAGCUUAGCCUUCUGCACAGAAGUUUCAAAAUUCCCCUCUCCCCCGUGGCCAUAAAAGAAAAGAGGGACUUCGCAAAUCCCAGCUCCGAGUAUGACCUGCAAGCUGAGCAUGAUCGAAUCAAGGGAAGUAUUGCUCAGAAUGAACUGCCUUGAAAUGUUUGUGCCUAUUUAUGAUGUCAGUUGAGGAAUGUUUUACAUAGGCUGAACUAGUGUGAGACUUAAAGGGGCCUUGCACAGGGGCUAAGACGUGGGCCUUCUCUCAACCCAUCCAUGGAAUGUGCUGCUCCUGCAGUAGGCCCCACAAGUGUGGGCUCCCACGUACACUGUUACUCUCAUUUAGCUCUCUGGUGGAAGUCAGUGGUUCAAGCGGAGCCUAAUCCUGACUUGCUAGGCAGACACUCAACAGUUUCAGGAUAUCCAAUUUUUCCAGGCUUUUCAUCAGAUUCCUUCUGAAAUGGGAGUCACAGCCCUGUGAUUGUCCUCUACUGGCUUGUAGGUAGUAGUGAUCUCCUGUCCUGCCAUGUAUGGUCCUCUCUGGCUGAAACAGUGAUUAGUAUUUUAGUAGUCCCUUCUGCCCACAAAACAGCAUUUCCUGUGCUCCAUAUUACUGCUUAUCCCGAGUAUUUCCAAAAGCUAUGCUUUUCUGUGAUAUAAGGGGAAAAAAACCUCCAACCAAACAUAAAGAAAUGUGAAAAGACAGUUCAUGUUGUGAUAUAUCAUUUUAUUCUUAUUUUUUGUAAUUAUGUGCCUAUUAAUCUGAUAUUUUUGUUUCAUAUUUUUCCUGCACUGCAAUAUAUGGGGAUCAUUUGUUUGGUUACUGUAGUAGAAACCUGAUGAAAUGGCACAAGUCUAUCAAAUAGGCACUGGAAUCAAGGGAUUUACUGGGCAAAGGCACCCCUGUGCUGCUAUAUGUAAAAACACUGAACAACUGAUCUGGUAAAAUAUACACCGACUUCAAGGGAAAUAGUAUAGAACACUUCAGAGCCUUGAGAAUGGCCAGACAUGAAUUAUGCCUAUAUAUGUCUACAUUACUAUUUUAUUGAGCAAGAUAAGGAUAAAAAGAGGAAAAUCAAUCAUAUUCAAGCAACCUAGAACUACCAAAUACAUCUUCAACUGCAUUAGGCAAAUAUUUUUAUCCAUUUAUGUGAACAAAUGCUUUGGCUUGAUCAUAAACAAAAUAAAAAUGUGUUUUUA